CCGCACAGCUCCGCCAGUGAUUGCCUGGCUGGAGACUCAGAUACUCAAGUUUCCCUUGGCGUGCUCUCCUGGUGGGUAGGCUAGGCUAACCCCCAAACCCUGCGGUGCUCUCCGCGGGAAGAAGGGCGCUGAGGGCGCAGGUUGUCAGCUCAGAGCGUAAGGACGCGUGUAUGUAAGGAGGGGCAAGGCGAGCGGUACCAGCCCCAGGGUCCGGCUAGUCUACCUCGGUGUGCUCCUCUGCACCCCAGGACUGAGCUAGGCUGCUCCAGCAGGCGAGGAUCCCGGAGCCAAGGAGUUCCGAGAGCCCGGGGAUUAAGCGGCUACUUCAUGAACUCCAAAUCCCCAGGCACCCGCGCCCCGGUUUAUGAUGAUCGCUGAGCUAGCGCCCCCCCCCCCCGCUUCCACUUCCAGAUGCCAGCCUGUGGCUUGGGGCAGGAAGCAGCCGGGCGCUCCAGGAUUCUCGGGAUUGGGACUGUAGACAGAAGAAAGCCUGGCUGUUGUGGGAGACCCGCUGCUGAGCCCAGAGAGCUGCGACCGUGUUUCUGCCACGUAAAACAUAGGCAGACCUUGGAGCGCGGAGCCUGGUUGCAGCGGAGCACGGCCUCCUCACCCUGUCCUCACCCUGCGUAAAGGCGCGGGGCUGGGUAACCCCCCCCCACCCCCGACGCUGCAGGCUGUAUUGUUCCCCGAGAUUUGAAGCCCUCUCCUUUGGGGUUACAUGAACCCGGAGGAUGGGUGGUGGCGCGCCUUUCAGCUAGGGGGCAGGCGCCUACAGACACUGACCAGCCACGUAGAAACACAGGUGCUCCAGGAAUUCUGAAUCUGGGGUCGAGGGGCCCAUUUCUGUGCAUCCCGAGGGAGGAGGGACAAGACUGGCAAGAAUCGGGUAUUGGGGUGUCAGGAUGAUCUUGGCAAGUGUCUCCUAGCGUCAGCUUUAGAUUACAGACAAUUGUGUCCACCGGCCCUCCAGCCUCCGAGGAGGUGCCUCCUGGGCGUCUGCCGGGUGCUCCCCUCCCCCAUCUCGUCCGGUUCCCUCCUCGAGGGCUUUCCGAGAACUGCAGCAGGUGGCGUUUGGCGUAUGAAUAGCAAGGACAACCCAGGGACUUAAACUGGUUGUGGCCUCUGAUCAAGCACUUCACCGGGCUCAUUGCCCUCCGAAGGAGUCGGUGAAGAAGGUGAAAAGGUCAUAAGCCUUCUGGGAAGUGGCAUUUAUAGACUCACUGCCAUCACAGAGACUGACUCCUACCUGGUGCAAGAGCUGGCAAAGAUUUAGGAAUGCUGGCAAGGAGACUCUGGUCAAAGGUUUUGGCUGAAAAACUAGGGUCAGCCAGGGAGAAAGGACGCUGGGACACUGGUGCUCCAGGCCAGGACUCUGCGUUGGGUGUCUGGGCUGGGCGCUCGACUGAAGCUUGUGCGAGGCGCGGAGCUGCUGCUUAUGCUCCCGCGCCCGACUCAGCCUUCUUUCCGGCCCUGGUUACCCGGCCCCGCCUACAGCACAGAUCCGCCCCCCUCCCCGCCCCAUCGCACCUCCACCCCGGGCGCAGUUAGCCAGCCCCGUCCCGAAGCGCCUCCGUUAGUCGCCACUGGGCUUCCUCCUAGGCUGCCUGACCCGUUGGAAGCCCCCCGGUGGGUUGGGCGCGCCGGGAGUCUGGGAGUCAAAUGCCCCGGGUCGAGCGGAAGGGGCAGUCGCGGGGCGGUCGGCCCUCUGCAGGCAAGGUCUAGGCGUCAGCCGCGCCCAGGGCAGAGCCAGGGGAACGACAGAGGCGGGGGACAGCCCUGGCGCCCUGCCACAGCGAGCGCGUGUCCCCGCCUCCCCACGCCAGGCGCCGGGUGCAUCCCUGCCAAUUCCAACUGCGCCGAAUCCAGUGUCCAGGACUCUUGCAGAACUCAAGGCUGGAGUAGGCCUUUACCAGGUCUCAAUGAAGCCGAGCAAAGGUUUUCAGAGUGCUAUCUGGACUUGUUUUUCUCUGUUUCCAAGUGGCAAACAUGCUGCUCUUUCAAAAGCUUUGAAAAGUCAUCAGAAACGAAGCAACCCUCUCCACCCACCUACUGUAAGAUGCCUGGAGCCUACACGCAGCCUAAGCCUGAGCAUGUCUCCUGUUAUCCUCUAGAACAGUUGGCUAAAAAACCAAAGAUACAUACUUUUCCUGACUACUCGUAUGAAAAUAGACACUCU
rnacentral:lncRNA from 1 species